rnacentral:rRNA from 1 species
GACGAACGCUGGCGGCGUGCUUAACACAUGCAAGUCGAACGGAAAGGCCCUGCUUUUGUGGGGUUCUCGAGUGGCGAGCGGGUGAGUAACACGUGAGUAACCUGCCCUUGUCUUUGGGAUAACUUCAGGAGACUGGGGCUAAUACCGGAUAGGAGCUCCUGCUGCAUGGUGGGGGUUGGAAAGUUUCGGCGGUUGGGUAUGGACUCGCGGGUUAUCAGCUUGAUGGUGGAGUAGGGGUUGCCGAAGGCUUUGACGGGUAGCCGGCCUGAGAGACUGACCGGCGACCUUGGGACUGAGAUACGGACCAGACGGCUACGGGAGGCAGUAGGGGGGAAUAUUGCGGAAUGGGCGGGAGUCUGAGGCAGAAACGCUGCGAGCGGGAAGCCGUGCUUCGGGUUAUAAACCUCUGUCGCAUGUGAUGAAGCGUGAGUGACGGUAAUGGGUAAAGAAGCACCGGCUAACUACGUG